rnacentral:snRNA from 1 species
AUCGCUUCUUGGCCUUUUGGCUACAAUCAAGUGUAGUAUCUGUUCUUAUCAGUUUAAUAUCUGAUCCAUCCUCUAUUCGAGGACAAUAUAUUAGGCAGAUUUUUUGGAAUUAAGAGAUGGAAUAGGAUUUUGCUCUAUCCACUCCACGCAUCAACCUGGUAUUGCAGUACCUCCAGGGAGGGUGCACCAAAA